rnacentral:rRNA from 1 species
ACUUCGGGAAACUGAAGCUAAUACCGGAUGAUGACGAAAGUCCAAAGAUUUAUCGCCCAGGGAUGAGCCCGCGUAGGAUUAGCUAGUUGGUGGGGUAAAGGCUCACCAAGGCAACGAUCCUUAGCUGGUCUGAGAGGAUGAUCAGCCACACUGGGACUGAGACACGGCCCAGACUCCUACGGGAGGCAGCAGUAGGGAAUAUUGGACAAUGGGCGAAAGCCUGAUCCAGCAAUGCCGCGUGAGUGAUGAAGGCCUUAGGGUUGUAAAGCUCUUUUACCCGAGAUGAUAAUGACAGUAUCGGGAGAAUAAGCUCCGGCUAACUCCGUGCCAGCAGCCGCGGUAAUACGGAGGGAGCUAGCGUUGUUCGGAAUUACUGGGCGUAAAGCGCACGUAGGCGGCGAUUUAAGUCAGAGGUGAAAGCCCGGGGCUCAACCCCGGAACUGCCUUUGAGACUGGAUUGCUAGAAUCUUGGAGAGGCGAGUGGAAUUCCGAGUGUAGAGGUGAAAUUCGUAGAUAUUCGGAAGAACACCAGUGGCGAAGGCGGCUCGCUGGACAAGUAUUGACGCUGAGGUGCGAAAGCGUGGGGAGCAAACA